CUGCUCCACCUAGCUUCAUGGCCGGCCAUGGCCAUGAAAAGCUCUCCAAGAUGAAGCUCUCCCCCUCCCUCAAGCUCCCCUCUCCAUGAGAGCAUCCCUCUCCUUCUUCUCCCCAAUCCUAGAUGGUUUUCUCUCCUCUUCUUCUUCCUCCCUUGCUAAGAUUGGAUCUUGAUGCAGGUGCAUGUUGGUCCAAGCAUGGAGAAGGUUGAGCUAUCCUCAGAUCUGAAGUUCUUGAGCAAAAUCCAAAUCGAGUGGUUCAAAGUUCUGCAGAUAGGUAUUGAAAAUAUCUACAACUUGGCGUUGGUCUCAUCCUCAAAUUCGUUACGGAUUUUGCAUGAUAAAUAAAGUUCUGCAAACAUGCAGAAUCAUUGUUUGUUA